UCCAUCCAUAGCCAUCAGAGCUGAAAUGAAUGCAUGCUAUAUUUAUAUUUACUUACGUUUUCAAAUAGACAUGCACUUCAGGUCAGAGAUCGCUGAGAAAGUCUGUCUCGAACCACUAAGGAGGAGAAGAUUUCCUCGGCUGAUUUAGGUAGAUAAAAAUGUGAAGGCUUAGAGGGAUGUUGUGUUCUUUUACACUUGGCAGUAUUUCUCUAUUAAGAAGCUGUGAAAGUCAUAUGGUCAUUCUUGGGUGGAGUGUGAUAGAUGAGCUACACUGCGUGCAAAUGCGUAAGCUGACAUGUCAAGUACUGAAAGGUACAUGAAACAGGCUCAAAUGUUCAUCAGAAUGUCUCACCACUCAGUGAUGUACAUGAUGUAAUGUGAGCGCCAGUGUAAGUACAAUUAAUCCAAUGAAGUACAUUUCAGCUUAACUGUAGCACUACCAAGGAACAGUUAAAGAAUAUGUCAUCAUUCACUCAUUUGCAUUUAUUAAUUUACAUUUACAUUUAUUCAGUUCCUUUGUUCCACAGAAAAAAUGAAUGUCAUAUAUGUUUGGAAUGACGUGAGGAAAAAUGGGCGGCCUGGCUCUGUGCAAGCAACUACCCUUAAAUUCAGGAAGCAAUGAACAAUGCGAAAGAUAACAUUCCUCCAAGUGCUAGUUUCUCCGUCAAAGCACGAACGAUAACAGGUUACUCCAGUCAGCAGGAUAAUCUCAGUUCAGCCUGCAGGCUAACUCUGCUGUGUUCUAGCAAAGAGUUAGCAAUUCACCCCUCUAUCGCAGUCACAUAGAAAAUCUUUGAGAAGCAACCACAGAGGUAAAAAACACUGGAUCUGAAUCAAAUAAGAGGUUUUGUCAAUUCAAAAGAGAAAUAUACAAAGUUCAUUUCAAGUUCUUCUGAGUUUAUUUGUUCUGUUUUGUAUGUUUUUGAUUUCAGUAAAAAAGACACACCCAGAGAAGUUUAUAGCUCAGACGUAGCUCAUUUAUACCUCAAUAUAAUUCCUCAGUUAUGUCUCUUUUCUGUAUAUUAUCAGCUCAGCAUUAAGGUGCAAGGUAUACGUUUAUCGGUUUGUCACUGGAGAUUAAACUUAUGACCUCAGCAUUGC